GAUGAAGAACGUAGCAAAAUGCGAUAAGUAAUGUGAAUUGCAGAAUUCAGUGAAUCAUCGAAUCUUUGAACGCACAUUGCGCCCGCCAGUAUUCUGGCGGGCAUGCCUGUUCGAGCGUCAUUUCAACCCUCAAGCACAGCUUGGUGUUGGGACUCGCGUUAAUUCGCGUUCCUCAAAUUGAUUGGCGGUCACGUCGAGCUUCCAUAGCGUAGUAGUAAAACCCUCGCUACUGGUAAUCGUCGCGGCCACGCCGUUAAACCCCAACUUCUGAAUGUUGACCUCGGAUCAGGUAGGAAUACCCGCUGAACUUAAGCAUAUCAAUAAGCGGAGGA
rnacentral:misc_RNA from 1 species